UACGGGGGGGGCAAGCGUUGUUCGGAAUUACUGGGCGUAAAGGGCUCGUAGGCGGCCAACUAAGUCAGACGUGAAAUCCCUCGGCUUAACCGGGGAACUGCGUCUGAUACUGGAUGGCUUGAGAUUGGGAGAGGGAUGCGGAAUUCCAGGUGUAGCGGUGAAAUGCGUAGAUAUCAGGAGGAACACCGGUGGCGAAGGCGGGUCUCUGGGCCGAUACUGACGCUGAGGAGCGAAAGCGUGGGGAGCGAACAGG
rnacentral:rRNA from 1 species